AUAUGGUUGUCCUGCCAGUAGUCAUACGCUAGUCUCAAAGAUAAAUCCAUACAUGUGUAAGUAUAAAUAGGUAAGUUUGAAUCUGAGAAUGGCUCAUUAUAUCAGAUUUAGUUUUUUUGAUGAAGGAUAUUUAUUGGAUAACCGUAUUAAUUAUAGAUCUAAUACAUGUAUGGAGUGUUGUAGCUUGCAUUUAAUAGAAUGACAACCAUAGGUUUCGGGCUACUCAGGAGUAAUAAUAACUAAUCAUAUCGUAUGGUUAUGGAGAGAUCAUUCUAUUAUGUUUCUCCCCUAUCAUCUUUGGAUGGUAGUGGGCUGCCCUCACAGGGCAGGGGCGUGGAGAAAUGAGUUUUGGUUCCCGUGGAGGGAGCGAGCGAGAGGGAUCCCCCACCCAUGCAAGGAACACGGCGGGCAAAUAACCCAUCCUAUCCCCGGGGGGGGAGGUAGACUAAAUAACACACGAUGCGCCUUUGGGUUUUGCAAUUGGAAUGAGAACAAUGUACAUCCCUUAUCGAUAAACAAUUGGAGGGCAAGUCUGGUGCCAGCAGCCGCGGUAAUCCAGAUCCAAUG
rnacentral:rRNA from 1 species